ACAACGGAGAGUUUGAUCCUGGCUCAGAAUGAACGCUGGCGGCGUGGAUUAGGCAUGCAAGUCGAACGCGAAAGGGUCCCUUCGGGGACCUGAGUAGAGUGGCGAACUGGUGAGUAACGCUUGGGGAACCUGCCCUUGAGUGGGGAACACGUCCGAAAGACGUAAAUUCCGCAUGACGUCUCCUGCCCGCAUGAGUGGGAGACCAAAGGUGCCCUCUGACACAAGGUGCCGCUUAAGGAUGGCCCCGAGUCCUAUUAGCUAGUUGGUAGGGUAACGGCCUACCAAGGCUAUGAUGGGUAGCUGGCCUGAGAGGGUGGUCAGCCACACUGGGACUGAGAUACGGCCCAGACUCCUAAGGGAGGCAGCAGUCGAGAGGCUUCGGCAAUGGGCGCAAGCCCGACCGAGCGACGCCGCGUGGGCGAUGAAGGCCUUCGGGUCGUAAAGCCCUGUCACAGGGGGGAGAACCGCACCCAGCUGAAUAGGCUGGGUGCCUGACGUUGCCCCUGGAGAAAGACCCGGCUAACUCCGUGCCAGCAGCCGCGGUAAUACGGAGGGGUCAAGCGUUAUUCGGAUUUACUGGGCGUAAAGGGCGCGUAGGCGGGAUCGCGGGUCGGCCGUGAAAUCCACCGGCUCAACCGGUGAACUGCGGUCGAAACUGCGAUUCUUGAGCUUGGUAGAGGAAGGCGGAAUUCCUGGUGUAGCGGUGGAAUGCGUAGAUAUCAGGAAGAACACCGGUAGCGAAGGCGGCCUUCUGGGCCAUGGCUGACGCUGAGGCGCGAAAGCU
rnacentral:rRNA from 1 species